AAUAAACGACUCUCGGCAACGGAUAUCUCGGCUCUCGCAUCGAUGAAGAACGUAGCGAAAUGCGAUACUUGGUGUGAAUUGCAGAAUCCCGUGAACCAUCGAGUUUUUGAACGCAAGUUGCGCCCGAAGCUUCGGCUAAGGGCACGUCU
rnacentral:rRNA from 1 species